UACGUAGGGUGCGAGCGUUAAUCGGAAUUACUGGGCGUAAAGAGUGCGUAGGCGGUUUGCUAUGUCAGAUGUGAAAGCCCCGGGCUUAACCUGGGAAGUGCGUCUGAAACUGGCAGACUAGAGUUUGGUAGAGGGGGGUAGAAUUCCUGGUGUAGCAGUGAAAUGCGUAGAGAUCAGGAGGAAUACCGAUGGCGAAGGCAGCCCCCUGGACUAAAACUGACGCUCAGGCACGAAAGCAUGGGGAGCAAACAGG
rnacentral:rRNA from 1 species